rnacentral:lncRNA from 1 species
GUCCUUGAACCAUCUUGGUUAAUGAAACUAUCUCUUUAAGUUCAAGUGACAUAUGGUUGCUUAUAUUUAGGCAAUCUCUUGAGUAAAAUGACUCAACAUUCAAUUAUUGUCAUAUCGUACGUUGAGUCAUCUAGUUAAGAAAUAUAUGGUAUGAAUGUUUUAUAUCUUGAAGAAACUAAUGACUUUCCUUCAAGAAAGAAA